rnacentral:rRNA from 1 species
GAUGAACGCUGGCGGCGUGCCUAAUACAUGCAAGUCGAGCGAACAGACGAGGAGCUUGCUCCUCUGACGUUAGCGGCGGACGGGUGAGUAACACGUGGAUAACCUACCUAUAAGACUGGGAUAACUUCGGGAAACCGGAGCUAAUACCGGAUAAUAUAUUGAACCGCAUGGUUCAAUAGUGAAAGACGGUUUUGCUGUCACUUAUAGAUGGAUCCGCGCCGCAUUAGCUAGUUGGUAAGGUAACGGCUUACCAAGGCAACGAUGCGUAGCCGACCUGAGAGGGUGAUCGGCCACACGGGAACUGAGACACGGUCCAGACUCCUAAGGGAGGCAGCAGUAGGGAAUCUGCCGCAAUGGGCGAAAGCCUGACGGAGCAACGCCGCGUGAGUGAUGAAGGUCUUCGGAUCGUAAAACUCUGUUAUUAGGGAAGAACAAAUGUGUAAGUAACUAUGCACGUCUUGACGGUACCUAAUCAGAAAGCCACGGCUAACUACGUG